rnacentral:rRNA from 1 species
UACGUAGGGCGCAAGCGUUGUCCGGAUUUAUUGGGCGUAAAGAGCGUGUAGGCGGCCAGGUAGGUCCGCUGUGAAAACUCGAGGCUCAACCUCGAGAUGUCGGCGGAAACCAUCUGGCUAGAGUCCGGAAGAGGAGAGUGGAAUUCCUGGUGUAGCGGUGAAAUGCGCAGAUAUCAGGAAGAACACCCGUGGCGAAGGCGGCUCUCUGGGACGGUACUGACGCUGAGACGCGAAAGCGUGGGGAGCGAACAGG